AGCAGCAGCCACGGUAAUACAGAGGGUGCGAGCGUUAAUCGGAUUUACUGGGCGUAAAGCGUGCGUAGGCGGCUUCUUAAGUCGGAUGUGAAAUCCCUGAGCUUAACUUAGGAAUUGCAUUCGAUACUGGGAAGCUAGAGUAUGGGAGAGGAUGGUAGAAUUCCAUGUGUAGCGGUGAAAUGCGUAGAGAUCUGGAGGAAUACCGAUGGCGAAGGCAGCCAUCUGGCCUAAUACUGACGCUGAGGUACGAAAGCAUGGGGAGCAAACAGGAUUAGAUACCCCCGUAGUCCCUGUCUCUUAUAC
rnacentral:rRNA from 1 species